AAUGUUGUCUCCUCUUCUUCUUCUCUCUAGGUACUACUCUGUCCUCUACCCUCAGGACAGUGUAUAAUGUUGUCUCCUCUUCUUCUUCUCUCUAGGUACUACUCUGUCCUCUACCCUCAGGACAGUGUAUAAUGUUGUCUCCUCUUCUUCUUCUCUCUAGGUACUACUCUGUCCUCUACCCUCAGGACAGUGUAUAAUGUUGUCUCCUCUUCUUCUUCUCUCUAGGUACUACUCUGUCCUCUACCCUCAGGACAGUGUAUAAUGUUGUCUCCUCUUCUUCUUCUCUCUAGGUACUACUCUGUCCUCUACCCUCAGGACAGUGUAUAAUGUUGUCUCCUCUUCUUCUUCUCUCUAGGUACUACUCUGUCCUCUACCCUCAGGACAGUGUAUAAUGUUGUCUCCUCUUCUUCUUCUCUCUAGGUACUACUCUGUCCUCUACCCUCAGGACAGUGUAUAAUGUUGUCUCCUCUUCUUCUUCUCUCUAGGUACUACUCUGUCCUCUACCCUCAGGACAGUGUAUAAUGUUGUCUCCUCUUCUUCUUCUCUCUAGGUACUACUCUGUCCUCUACCCUCAGGACAGUGUAUAAUGUUGUCUCCUCUUCUUCUUCUCUCUAGGUACUACUCUGUCCUCUACCCUCAGGACAGUGUAUAAUGUUGUCUCCUCUUCUUCUUCUCUCUAGGUACUACUCUGUCCUCUACCCUCAGGACAGUGUAUAAUGUUGUCUCCUCUUCUUCUUCUCUCUAGGUACUACUCUGUCCUCUACCCUCAGGACAGUGUAUAAUGUUGUCUCCUCUUCUUCUUCUCUCUAGGUACUACUCUGUCCUCUACCCUCAGGACAGUGUAUAAUGUUGUCUCCUCUUCUUCUUCUCUCUAGGUACUACUCUGUCCUCUACCCUCAGGACAGUGUAUAAUGUUGUCUCCUCUUCUUCUUCUCUCUAGGUACUACUCUGUCC